rnacentral:rRNA from 1 species
ACGGAAGGCAGCAGUGAGGAAUAUUGGUCAAUGGGCGGAAGCCUGAACCAGCCAAGUCGCGUGAAGGAUGAAGGUAUUAUGUAUUGUAAACUUCUUUAGCCAGGGGGCAAUAAGGCGUACGCGUACGCCGAUGAGAGUACCUGGAGAAUAAGGAUCGGCUAACUCCGUGCCAGCAGCCGCGGUAAUACGGAGGAUCCGAGCGUUAUCCGGAUUUAUUGGGUUUAAAGGGUGCGUAGGCGGCCCCUUAAGUCGGCGGUGAAAUUUCCGGGCUCAACCCGGUCACUGCCGUCGAAACUGGGGGGCUUGAGUGCGUUUGGGGUGGCUGGAAUGUGCGGUGUAGCGGUGAAAUGCAUAGAUAUCGCACAGAACGCCGAUCGCGGAGGCAGGUCACCAAGCCGCAACUGACGCUGAGGCACGAAAGCGCGGGGAUCGAACAGGAUUAGAUACCCUGGUA